rnacentral:rRNA from 1 species
GUGCCAGCCGCUGCGGUAAUACGGAGGUGCAAGCGUUACUCGGAAUCACUGGGCGUAAAGAGCGUGUAGGCGGAUAAAUAAGUUUGAAGUGAAAUCCUAUAGCUUAACUAUAGAACUGCUUUGAAAACUGUUAAUCUAGAAUGUGGGAGAGGUAGAUGGAAUUUCUGGUGUAGGGGUAAAAUCCGUAGAGAUCAGAAGGAAUACCGAUUGCGAAGGCGAUCUACU